rnacentral:rRNA from 1 species
AGAGUUUGAUCCUGGCUCAGGACGAACGCUGGCGGCGUGCUUAACACAUGCAAGUCGAACGGAAAGGCCCUGCUUGCAGGGUACUCGAGUGGCGAACGGGUGAGUAACACGUGGGUGAUCUGCCCUGCACUUCGGGAUAAGCCUGGGAAACUGGGUCUAAUACCGGAUAGGACCACUUCUUGGAUGUUGUGGUGGAAAGUUUUUUCGGUGUGGGAUGAGCUCGCGGCCUAUCAGCUUGUUGGUGGGGUAAUGGCCUACCAAGGCGUCGACGGGUAGCCGGCCUGAGAGGGUGACCGGCCACACUGGGACUGAGACACGGCCCAGACUCCUACGGGAGGCAGCAGUGGGGAAUAUUGCACAAUGGGCGGAAGCCUGAUGCAGCAACGCCGCGUGCGGGAUGACGGCCUUCGGGUUGUAAACCGCUUUCGCCUGUGACGAAGCGUGAGUGACGGUAAUGGGUAAAGAAGCACCGGCUAACUACGUGCCAGCAGCCGCGGUGAUACGUAGGGUGCGAGCGUUGUCCGGAUUUAUUGGGCGUAAAGGGCUCGUAGGUGGUUGAUCGCGUCGGAAGUGUAAUCUUGGGGCUUAACCCUGAGCGUGCUUUCGAUACGGGUUGACUUGAGGAAGGUAGGGGAGAAUGGAAUUCCUGGUGGAGCGGUGGAAUGCGCAGAUAUCAGGAGGAACACCGAUGGCGAAGGCAGGUCUCUGGGCUGUAACUGACGCUGAGGAGCGAAAGCAUGGGGAGCGAACAGGAUUAGAUACCCUGGUAGUCCAUGCCGUAAACGUUGGGCACUAGGUGUGGGGACCAUUCCACGGUUUCCGCGCCGCAGCUAACGCAUUAAGUGCCCCGCCUGGGGAGUACGGCCGCAAGGCUAAAACUCAAAGGAAUUGACGGGGGCCCGCACAAGCGGCGGAGCAUGCGGAUUAAUUCGAUGCAACGCGAAGAACCUUACCAAGGCUUGACAUGUUUUCGAUCGCCGUGGAGACACGGUUUCCCCUUUGGGGCGGAUUCACAGGUGGUGCAUGGUUGUCGU